UCAUCAAGUUAUCAAGUUGAUAAACGAAAUUAACCUAAGAUUAUUUGAGACAACUACGUAUGUUGUUUUUGAGAUCAUAAGAGCUUUAUUUACAGAAAUUUAGUGUGCAUAUAAGGUAGAGCGCAUUAUAAAGAGAGCAGUUUCACUUAUAUUGAAAUUCUGAACCACGUUCGUCUCCAAAGUGAAUUUGAAAGAAAGCCAACCCAAAAAGGGCCUUAGGUAAAUGCAUAAACGCCCGCAAUCGCCUUCUUUUGGUCGCUGCAGUAUACUUGUUUCAUUUAUUUUUAAAGAUUCGUUUUAGUGAUUCACUUUCAAGGCCGUUUUAAGAACAAAGACUGGCGUGUGUGUGACUUAAUGAAACUGUUUGUGCGACAUUGGUCAUUGCUAACAGCAGCCCAAAAAACAAAUAUUCUGCAAUGUUUUGUUUUAUUUUAUGCAAAAUGCUUUUGUGUUUUGUUGCUCUUAGAUUGAUCCCAACCGCAAAUUCGCCUCGUUUGACUCAAAAACGCUACUUACAACUAAGUAAAUAUAUAUUGAUCAACCAACGUCGAUCGACGUCGACGUGAGACCGUGAAACCAGGCUUAAAUGCAAAAUGUUCUCUAUAUAAUCAUAGCCACUAUCGGGGUAGCAAGAUUGAUUCAAAUUAUGUUGUUGAAUCAAUUAUUUUCUCAGAAUCUAACUAAUGCUAGUAGAUUUAUCUCUAAAUAAGAACGUUUCGUGAGUAAACUUACUGGAAAUUCAAUGUAGUCUGACAAAAUCCGUCGGCAAAGUUGCAAUUUUUUGCAUGACCAACUCGGUGUUCCGUUACUUGCAACCGGUUUUGGUCCACCGUGUGCCAUUAUUUACUGCUUCUUGCACAUUAUAAAAGUCGCAAAAAGAAAGCACUUUGAAAUGUCGCUCACUUGAAAGGGAAUUGAGUGAGAUCAUUUAAGUGAAAUCGUUUUGUUUAAAUUUCUAAAGUUCUAAAGUAUAAAUUUCUAAGAGAAAAUUUUGAAGCCUCCGUUUUAAUUUAGUAUUAUUUUCUUGCAUGCUAAAUUUUAAUCGCUAGCCUCAAAUCGUCAAUUCGUGAAAUUUACAGUUCGAAUAAAACUGCAGCAUAAUUUAUCCCCGAUCGAACUAAACAUACUUAACACACGUUACGCCGGUUUACGUUACAAUGUUUCAAUUUACGACUCUGGAAGUACCUAAUGAACACCAGUUGCAACAAACGUCACAAUUUUAUGACAUUAGAUAAUGUAAUGUUUACUGGAGUGAAUAUUGGGGCCACUGACUACGGCAGAUUGUUGUAAGUUUGUAUUUGAAUUAAAUGUGGCUCAAUGUGUUAACAAUAUUACGUACACGGUACACAAAACAUUGAAUUCUCGAAUGCUUGUGAUACGACAAGAUACGUGAAGAUUACAUAUGAGGAGUCAGGAGGAAUAGAAAGUAGGUAUGGGAGAAAGACAUAACAGACUGGCACCGAUAGACGAAGGCAUCGUAACCGUGUGAGGUCCAGGCGAAGACGGAAGAAAGAGCUGGAUGCGUCCAAUAUGCACCAGUAGAUUGCAAAAAGUCAGGAAAAAAUAAGGGACGCAUUUGUUGAGCUAAAGAAGGUAUUAAAUCGAACAGCGAAACCUUGUA